rnacentral:rRNA from 1 species
UACAGAGGUCUCAAGCGUUGUUCGGAUUCAUUGGGCGUAAAGGGUGCGUAGGUGGCGCCGUAAGUCAGGUGUGAAAUCUCGGGGCUCAACCCCGAAACUGCACUUGAUACUGCGGUGCUCGAGUACUGGAGAGGAGAUUGGAAUUUACGGUGUAGCAGUGAAAUGCGUAGAUAUCGUAAGGAAGACCAGUGGCGAAGGCGGUUCUCUGGGCCUGACCUGACGCUGAGGAGCGAAAGCGUGGGGAGCGAACAGG